rnacentral:rRNA from 1 species
GACGAACGCUGGCGGCGUGCCUAAUACAUGCAAGUAGAACGCACAGUUUAUACCGUAGCUUGCUACACCAUAGACUGUGAGUUGCGAACGGGUGAGUAACGCGUAGGUAACCUGCCUGGUAGCGUGGGAUAACUAUUGGAAACGAUAGCUAAUACCGCAUAAUAUUAAUUAUUGCAUGAUAAUUAAUUGAAAGUUGCAAUUGCACCACUACCAGAUGUACCUGCGUUGUAUUAGCUAGUAGGUGAGGUAACGGCUCACCUAGGCGACGAUACAUAGCCGACCGGAGAGGGUGAUCGGCCACACUGGGACUGAGACACGGCCCAGACUUCUACGGGAGGCAGCAGAAGGGAAUCUUCGGGAAUAGACGAGAGGCGUACCGAGCAAAGCCGCAUAAGGGAAGAAGGACUUCGGAUCGUAUAGCUCUGUUGUAAGAGAAGAACGGGUGUGAGAGUGGAAAGUUCACACUGUGACGGUAUCUUACCAGAAAAGGACGGCUAACUACGUG